AGGGUUCGAUUCUGGCUCAGGAUGAACGCUGGCGGCGUGCUUAACACAUGCAAGUCGAACGGGAUCCAUCAGGCUUUGCUUGGUGGUGAGAGUGGCGAACGGGUGAGUAAUGCGUGACCGACCUGCCCCAUACACCGGAAUAGCUCCUGGAAACGGGUGGUAAUGCCGGAUGCUCCGACUCCUCGCAUGGGGUGUCGGGAAAGAUUUCAUCGGUAUGGGAUGGGGUCGCGUCCUAUCAGGUAGUCGGCGGGGUAACGGCCCACCGAGCCUACGACGGGUAGCCGGCCUGAGAGGGCGACCGGCCACAUUGGGACUGAGAUACGGCCCAGACUCCUACGGGAGGCAGCAGUGGGGAAUAUUGCACAAUGGGCGCAAGCCUGAUGCAGCGACGCCGCGUGCGGGAUGACGGCCUUCGGGUUGUAAACCGCUUUUGAUCGGGAGCAAGCCUUCGGGUGAGUGUACCUUUCGAAUAAGCACCGGCUAACUACGUGCCAGCAGCCGCGGUAAUACGUAGGGUGCAAGCGUUAUCCGGAAUUAUUGGGCGUAAAGGGCUCGUAGGCGGUUCGUCGCGUCCGGUGUGAAAGUCCAUCGCUUAACGGUGGAUCUGCGCCGGGUACGGGCGGGCUGGAGUGCGGUAGGGGAGACUGGAAUUCCCGGUGUAACGGUGGAAUGUGUAGAUAUCGGGAAGAACACCAAUGGCGAAGGCAGGUCUCUGGGCCGUUACUGACGCUGAGGAGCGAAAGCGUGGGGAGCGAACAGGAUUAGAUACCCUGGUAGUCCACGCCGUAAACGGUGGAUGCUGGAUGUGGGGCCCGUUCCACGGGUUCCGUGUCGGAGCUAACGCGUUAAGCAUCCCGCCUGGGGAGUACGGCCGCAAGGCUAAAACUCAAAGAAAUUGACGGGGGCCCGCACAAGCGGCGGAGCAUGCGGAUUAAUUCGAUGCAACGCGAAGAACCUUACCUGGGCUUGACAUGUUCCCGACAGCCGUAGAGAUAUGGCCUCCCUUCGGGGCGGGUUCACAGGUGGUGCAUGGUCGUCGUCAGCUCGUGUCGUGAGAUGUUGGGUUAAGUCCCGCAACGAGCGCAACCCUCGCCCUGUGUUGCCAGCACGUCAUGGUGGGAACUCACGGGGGACCGCCGGGGUCAACUCGGAGGAAGGUGGGGAUGACGUCAGAUCAUCAUGCCCCUUACGUCCAGGGCUUCACGCAUGCUACAAUGGCCGGUACAACGGGAUGCGACACGGCGACGUGGAGCGGAUCCCUGAAAACCGGUCUCAGUUCGGAUUGGAGUCUGCAACCCGACUCCAUGAAGGCGGAGUCGCUAGUAAUCGCGGAUCAGCAACGCCGCGGUGAAUGCGUUCCCGGGCCUUGUACACACCGCCCGUCAAGUCAUGAAAGUGGGCAGCACCCGAAGCCGGUGGCCUAACCCCUUGUGGGAUGGAGCCGUCUAAGGUGAGGCUCGUGAUUGGGACUAAGUCGUAACAAGGUAGCCGUACCGGAAGGUGCGGCUG
rnacentral:rRNA from 1 species